rnacentral:rRNA from 1 species
UGCCAGCAGCCGCGGUAAUACGGAAGGUGCAAGCGUUAUCCGGAAUCACUGGGUUUAAAGGGUGCGUAGGCUGUUAGAUAAGUCAGAGGUGAAAGCUCAUCGCUUAACGAUGGAACUGCCUUUGAUACUGUUUAACUUGAAUUAGGUUGAGGUUAGCGGAAUGUGUCAUGUAGCGGUGAAAUGCAUAGAUAUGACAUAGAACACCAAUUGCGAAGGCAGCUGGCUAGACCUAUAUUGACGCUGAGGCACGAAAGCGUGGGGAGCGAACAGGAUUAGAUA